UGGGGAAUUUUGGACAAUGGGCGAAAGCCUGAUCCAGUAAUGCCGCGUGUGUGAAGAAGGCCUUCGGGUUGUAAAGCACUUUUGUCCGGAAAGAAAUCCUUGGCUCUAAUACAGUCGGGGGAUGACGGUACCGGAAGAAUAAGCACCGGCUAACUACGUGCCAGCAGCCGCGGUAAUACGUAGGGUGCAAGCGUUAAUCGGAAUUACUGGGCGUAAAGCGUGCGCAGGCGGUUUGCUAAGACCGAUGUGAAAUCCCCGGGCUCAACCUGGGAACUGCAUUGGUGACUGGCAGGCUAGAGUAUGGCAGAGGGGGGUAGAAUUCCACGUGUAGCAGUGAAAUGCGUAGAGAUGUGGAGGAAUACCGAUGGCGAAGGCAGCCCCCUGGGCCAAUACUGACGCUCAUGCACGAAAGCGUGGGGAGCAAACAGGAUUAGAUACCCUGGUAGUCCACGCCCUAAACGAUGUCAACUAGUUGUUGGGGAUUCAUUUCCUUAGUAACGUAGCUAACGCGUGAAGUUGACCGCCUGGGGAGUACGGUCGCAAGAUUAAAACUCAAAUGAAUUGACGGGGUCAUAGCUGUUU
rnacentral:rRNA from 1 species